CCUACGGGGGGCAGCAGUGAGGAAUAUUGGUCAAUGGCCGCAGGGCUGAACCAGCCACGUCGCGUGAGGGAUGACGGUCCUAUGGAUUGUAAACCUCUUUUGUCAGGGAGCAAAGGGCGCCACGUGUGGCGCUUUGCGAGUACCUGAAGAAAAAGCAUCGGCUAACUCCGUGCCAGAAGCCGCGGUCAUACGGAGGAUGCGAGGGUUAUCAGGAUUGAUUGGGUUUAAAGGGUGCGCAGGCGGAAUGUUAAGUCAGUUGUGAAAGUUUGCGGCUCAACCGUAAAAUUGCAGUUGAAACUGGCAGUCUUGAGUACAGUAGAGGUGGGCGGAAUUCGUGGUGUAGCGGUGAAAUGCUUAGAUAUCACGAAGAACUCCGAGUGCGAAGGCAGCUCACUGGACUGCAACUGACACUGAGGCUCGAAAGUGUGGGUAUCAAACAGGAUUAGAUACCCGUGUAGUC
rnacentral:rRNA from 1 species